UACAGAGGGUGCAAGCGUUGUUCGGAAUUAUUGGGCGUAAAGGGAGUGUAGGCGGUUUGUUAAGUCUCAUGUGAAAUCUUCGGGCUCAGCCUGAAACGUGCAUGAGAAACUGGCGAGCUAGAGUGUCGAAGAGGAUAGUGGAAUUCCCGGUGUAGAGGUGAAAUUCGUAGAGAUCGGGAGGAACACCAGUGGCGAAGGCGACUAUCUGGUUGACAACUGACGCUGAGACUCGAAAGCAUGGGGAGCAAACAGG
rnacentral:rRNA from 1 species